GACGAACGCUGGCGGCGUGCCUAAUACAUGCAAGUCGAGCGCAGGAAAUCAACGGAACCCUUCGGGGGGAAGUCGACGGAAUGAGCGGCGGACGGGUGAGUAACACGUAAAGAACCUGCCCUCAGGUCUGGGAUAACCACGAGAAAUCGGGGCUAAUACCGGAUGGGUCAUCGGACCGCAUGGUCCGAGGAUGAAAGGCGCUUCGGCGUCGCCUGGGGAUGGCUUUGCGGUGCAUUAGCUAGUUGGUGGGGUAAUGGCCCACCAAGGCGACGAUGCAUAGCCGACCUGAGGGGGUGAUCGGCCACACUGAGACUGAGACACGGCCCAGACUCCUACGGGAGGCAGCAGUAGGGAAUCUUCCACAAUGGACGAAAGUCUGAUGGAGCAACGCCGCGUGAACGAUGAAGGCCUUCGGGUCGUAAAGUUCUGUUGUAAGGGAAGAACAAGUGCCGCAGGCAAUGGCGGCACCUUGACGGUACCUUGCGAGAAAGCCACGGCUAACUACGUGCCAGCCGCCGCCGUAA
rnacentral:rRNA from 1 species